rnacentral:rRNA from 1 species
GAUGAACGCUGGCGGCGUGCCUAAUACAUGCAAGUCGAGCGAACAGACGAGGAGCUUGCUCCUCUGACGUUAGCGGCGGACGGGUGAGUAACACGUGGAUAACCUACCUAUAAGACUGGGAUAACUUCGGGAAACCGGAGCUAAUACCGGAUAAUAUAUUGAACCGCAUGGUUCAAUAGUGAAAGACGGUUUUGCUGUCACUUAUAGAUGGAUCCGCGCCGCAUUAGCUAGUUGGUAAGGUAACGGCUUACCAAGGCAACGAUGCGUAGCCGACCUGAGAGGGUGAUCGGCCACGCUGGAUCUGAGGCUCGUUCCAGACUCCUGCAGGAGGCCGCAGUACGGAAUCUUCCGCGAUGGGCGAGAGCUUGACGGAGCACCGCCGCGUGAGUGAUGAAGGUCUUCUGAUCGUAAAACUCUGUUAUUCGGGAGGAACAAAUGUGUAAGUACCUAUGCACGUCUUGACGGUACCUGAUCAGAAAGCCACGGCUAACUACGUG